CAUCGACAUUUUGAACGCAUAUUGCGCCCGCGGUUUAAUUAUUACAUUGCCGUGGGCACUCCAGAUCGAGGGUCGUAUGAAACAUUUUUUGUAUCCAUCUGAUUGAUUGAUUAUCUAUCAGCUAUGAGCUGUCGCGUUCACUGCGGUAAUGAUCUGCAUGUGAACUGCAGUGAACUUAGCGUCGCUUUAAAUUUACCAAGUUCAUUGGCCGGCCUUAGGCAAGUCGAUGACCAAUCGAACGAGAAAGGCAAGGUAACUACUUCUCUAAACUGCAACUCAGUAUGGUUCAUGUUUGGUUUGUUUCGUCAUCGUAUUAGUGACGCGAGGCGACCUGCCCAAAGAUCAAUCUGUCAGGUGCAUGGCAAUUUUGGUAGUGGUUUAACAUGACCGGGUUGCAGGUGUGAGACCUGCAGAGUUGUAUUUAUUGUCUAGAGCUUGCCCGUGGUUGGUGCAUUGCUAACUCUUUCACGACCUCGUUUCGGGAGAGAUUACCCGCCAAAUUUAAGCAUAUCAAUAAGCGGAGGAAAAGAAAU
rnacentral:rRNA from 1 species